AUUUAUUCAUUUAUUCAUUCAACAAGCAUUUUCUAUGUGGCAGAUACUGACACAUGACUUGUAAAGAUAAAUAUAACAUAUGGUCUGUAUCCCCAACAAGCUCUCCUCAUAAAGAGGGCAACAAAUCAAUAAAAGCGUAACGGGUACAUUGAACAAGUAGGUCUCCAAACUGGGGUUAGAGUAAGGAUUCUAUUUCUCUCAGCCAGUGAUCUGACGCUGUUCUGUGGCCCGUGUCUUCCCUACAUGGAAAGUAGAUGAAAUCUUGGGCAGAUUCCAUAAACUCUCUUGAACACACUUAGUGCAAAGUCGCUCUGUCUCUGUUAGUCACAAGAGCAGUCUGAUUUUAAUUCACUGAUCUGAACCUCAUUCAGAAUUAAAGCCUCUCAGCUCCCCAGCGGGAGAACAAGCGGUGGGGAAGAAGGGGCAUGGUGAGCUGCUCCCCUCUCUGCCUUGUGCUGCUCCUCCUCUUCUGUGCCCUCCCAAAUACUGUCUCCAGCUCCCCCAGGGAUGGAGGGAGACCCAGAGGGUAAACAAGAGGAGGUUUCUUAGCUCUCCAGUACUCUGAUGAUCUGGCAGCAGUGUUCUCUGGCCUUGGAGGGUUUUAGAGGUGUCCACUUGGACUUCACUGCCUUCGAGAAGACUCUGCUGGUUCUUCUUAGACCAGGUUAUGUGCCCUUUCAUGUACUCCUUACCUUGGUACUUAUCAGAAUCAUAACUGAAGACCAAAACCACCAAGUACUCCUGCUGCUGCCCUGCCGCCUUUACUGAGAGGCACCACUGACAGGUAACUGGCGUUACCACCCGCCAUCAUCCCACACACACUACCUCACCACCCCAGCCAACAUAAGGGACUUGCAGACCUGCCUCUGUGUAAUCAGAGCAGAUGAAAGAGAUUCGGGGACACAGAUGCUGUGCUUGCACUGCUGAGGGAGGGGUGGUCAAUUUCAAAGCCCUCUUUCCUAGAAAGAUGGACUCUGCCCUUGACACCCCAAGAGUUGACUGGCCACACACGGUGGUUGAAAUUGGGAGCUACGUGUUGCCAUAAUUGGCACUGCAUGGUGCGUGAAGAGCACUUGUAUCAAGGUGUUACAGCAGGAUACCACGACUGGGGUGAGGGGAUCAGCUGCAGACGAUGGCUAAAUCUUGCAAGGGGUCACCAGUGCUUAGGGAAACUGCACUGGAACAAGUCCCUCCCUGGCAGGGCAUGUUGAAGCCCCCUGGCGCCCUCACCUAUGAAAUAUGGAAAUGGUGAUGCUUGCCCCCCGGGAUUGUCACAAAGACUACAUGAGAUAAUGUGAGAAACCUUCUGCAAAGUGGACCCACAAUUAAUGUUAGCUCCCUUGCUACGCUUUUGCUGCUCAGUGUUUAACGCCUGGAUAAAUACUUCGAGUGUGGAAAGAGACGGGGAGCUUUUCAUAAUGUCAGAUUCAACCUAAAAGGAAAAGUCUGUGUUUGCAGAGUUCUAUCUCCCUGGAUUACCAGGCAGAUUCUGAAAUUUAUUAACCUUUUUAGUCAUUUGUGAACACCAGCAAAAGGACUUCUUUGAAUAAUCAAAAAACCUCCUCAUUCUGGCAGCCAAAUAAAAGGAGGCCAGGUGUUCAGGAUUAAAAAUGCAUUACCCCCACCACUGACUUUCUGGGGAUGGUGUCAAGAAUUUUCUCUUUCAUAACAUGUACCAUUUCUAGAGUAGAGAAAGAGGAGGGAAAAGUGAACAGAGAUGAUAAGGAGACUUUAGGAAACAUGGGGGUGGACAGAAAAAUGAAGGGUGAAAGUGACAGACGGAAGACAGGAGAACCCUAUUUUUAGCCAGUUAUGGUCUUCUGUCCCCUUAAAAAUAGACCCUCUUCCUGCCCACAGUGAAUGGAGUGGACAAUAUCUGGGAUUGCAUAACACCAUUUGUGUAUCUGUUUGAAGGCAUUGACAUUGUGACUCUUAGACAAGGUUGGGUAGGCCUUUUAACACUAGAUACACAGCCACCAAAUUUCCUCUAGAACUGUUUCUAAGAAAAAUGCCCACAUUCACACUCUCAUUUUCUAAAAUUAUCCUUAGCAUGAGGCUAAGACUAUUUUCUUGAAGUAAAACUAAGACAAUUUCUCGUUGCUAAUAAAACUAACCACACGCACACGUGUCGAGGCACCAUGCUAGGUCUUGACAUUCAUGGUACCCUUUUGGCAGAUGGGGACAUUUAGGCUCAGGAAGCGAGCAGGCUGGAUCCGGGCCACAGAGCUCAUAUGUAGUGGAACUAGUAUUCAAACCCAGGUCUCAUCCAAACCCUGACAUUGUCACCUCUGCCCUGUUAUCGGCUUUAGAAACCUUUAGCGGCUGCCACUCCAGCACCCGGGUGAGCUCUGACACUGAGAAAUGCAGCCCAUGGGAAAGGCAAGAACCAAGCACAGCACUGGUCGCUACCAGAAGGAGGAUUGUAUUACAAGCCCUUCAGACUUUGUACACAACACGCUCGUGGUGCACCAUGAGGCCGUUUUGAGGCUCAAGGAUUACUUUGGAAAGGCUUCUGUAAUUUCAGAGUUUAAUGAUAUGAAAUUAGACCUAGAAUCCUCAAACAAACCCAUUUCAGAACUACAAUACCCCCUGGAAAUGAGCACUUCCAUUAGAUUUGAGACCAUUACGUAUCCAUCUCUGUGUGAGGGAAAUAGAUGUUUUCACGCUAGAACAAAUACAAAACAUCAUUUUCAUCCAGUACAAUUUCCUGAACUCCUUUUAUCCAAUUUCCCAGUUUUUUCUGAUAUUUGAAACUGAAGUAAAGCUUUCCUCUUAGCCCAGUUUCUUGUUCACUUUAACUCCGCAACAAAAUUAUUCUUAGGUUUUAUCACUGGCCUAUUUCUUAGAUAGGACUUGGGUUUCAUUAUUUCAACAUGGGGUCAAAAAUAGAAAAAGAUGUUCCAGAAACAGACUUUUGUUAUUUUCUUUAUAAUCAUUGAAUCUAUAUGCCAUUUUGCCCAACCCUUGUACAUUAUGUGGGAGAUCCUUGAACAAUUACAAAUCUACUACAAACAAUAGUUUCUGGUACUCAGGUAAUGAGAAAUGUCUUAAAGAUGAUAAACACAGGUAUUCACAAUAGAUUGAGAGAUUAAACAACCUAAACAAAGGAAAAAUAUUUCCCAAUCUUAUGUGAACAAAGAUUGCAUACAUCACAAUUAGGAAAAGUUUCAUAUUUUUUAAGCACGAUAAAAUGUUGUUUAGUCUUUGAGCAGUAUUAAAAAAUCCUCAGUUAAACAACUACAUAUAUACAUUUACUAUUUAUAAGAUAUUCUCUAAGACACCAUUAUGGUAUUAGGACGAAUAAUAAAUACACGGGUCACUAACUUCAAGAAUCUUUUACUGUUAUAGGGGAGGUAAGAAAUGUAUUUAUAAGCUAUAAUAUAAAGAUGAAUAUGAUGAGUGCCAUAAAGUACAAAGAAUUAUGGGGGUUCAGAAGAAGGAGGGAUUAUCUCUAUGUGAGCUCAGAAGAUGGUAGGCCGCCCAUUCCAGGAUAAUGAAAUGCAUGAGAAAAGAUAAUACCGUUUGAGGAAACAGUCCCCUUUGAAAUUCAAAAUGUCAGUGGGAAAUACAGCAGGGGUAUUAGCCUGAGAUUGGACCACAGAAAGCAAAUGCCAGAUCCAAGGGUUUGGAGGUUAGUCAGUUGGAGAAAUAAUACACUCACUAGGUACAACUAGUAUUUCAAACAUUACCUAUUUUUACCUAUUUAAAAUAUCUCUUUUUUUUAACAGCUUUAUUGAAGUAUAAUUGACAUAUAAUUAACUGUGCAUGUUUAAAGCAUAUAAUUUGGUAAAUUUUGACAUAUGUAUACACCCAUGAAACCAUCACCACAAUCAACAUAAUGAACAUAUCAAUCACUCCCAAAAGUUUCCUUGUGCCCCUUUGUAAUCUCUUCCUCCUGCCCCAUCGCUAGGCAAUUGUUGAUCUGCUUUCUGCCACUGUAGGUUAAUUGGCACUUUCAAGAACUUUGUAUAAAUGGAAUUAUACACUAUUGACUCUUUAGUCUGACUUCUUUCACUCAACACAAUUUUUUGAGAUUCAUCCAUAUUGUUGGGUGUAUCAAUAGUUUGUUCCUUUUUGCUAGUAAGUGGUAUUCCAUUAUAUGGAUAUGCCAUAUUUGUUUUUCCAUUCACCAUGUUGAUGGGCAUUUGCAUUGUUUUUAGUUUGGGGCUAUUACAAAUAAAGCUACUUUCAAUAUUCAUAUACAAGUCUUUGUAGGAACAUAUGCCUUCAUUUCUCCUAGAUUAAUGCCUAGCCAUGAAGUGGCUGAGUCACCUAGUAUGUUUAUGUUGCUUUUUAAUUAACUGCCAUACUAUUUGCCAAAAUGGUAUAUCACUUUGCAUUCCUGCCAGCAGUAUAUGAGAAUUUCAGUUGUUCCACGUCCUUGAGAAAGGUCGGCAUGGUCACCGCUUUUUAAUUUUGGACAGUCGAAUAGGUGUGUAGUGAUAUCUUAUUAUGGUUUUAAUUUGCAUUUCCCCAAUGAGUAAAAACCUUUCAUGUUUUUUUAUUUGCCACUUUUAUAGCUUCUUUGAUGAAGUAUCUGCUCAAAACUUUUGUCCAUUUUAAAAUUAUUAUUAUCACUGAGAUUUCAGAGUUCUUUACGCAUUCUGUGUAUAAGCCCUUUAUCAGAUACAUGAUGUACAAAUAUUUUCCCCAGUCUUUAGCUUUAAAGAGUAGAAGUUCUUAAUUUUGCUGAAGUCCCAUGUAUCUUUUUUUUUUAAUGCAUUGUGCUUUUGCCUUUAAGGAAUCUUUGCCAAGUCACAAAGAUUUUCUGUGUUCUCUUCUUGUUUUAUAGUUUUAUAUUUAACUCUAUGAUCCAUGUUGAGUUCAUUUUUUUGUAUUGGUGCAAGAUAUGAAUUGAAGAGGUUUGGGGGGGAAAUGUGGUUUUUUGGCAGAUAAAUAUCUAAUUGUUGUAGCAUCAUUUGUUGAAAAAACUAUCCUUUUCAUCUAAAUACGCUUGUCAAAAAUCAAUUGACCAUAUAUGUGUAGGUCUAUUUCUGGAUUCUAUUCUGUUCCAUUGAUCUAUUUGUCUACCUUGAUGCCAAUACCACAUUGUCUUAGUUACUAAAGUGUUAUAAAAAGCUUUGAAGUAAGGUAGCUUAAGUCCUCCAAAUUGGUUCUCUUAUUUCGAAUUAUUUAAGCUAUUCUAGAUCUUUUGCAUUUCCAUAUAAAUUUUAGAAUCAGCUUAUUAAUUUCUACCAAAAAAAAAAACACUGGGAUUUUUGAUUGGGAUUGCUUUGAAUCUAUAUAAUAAUUUAGAGAACUGCUCUCCUAACCAUAUUGAGUCUUCCAAUCUGUAAACACAAUAUAUCUCUGUAUUUUGAUCUUCUUUAAUUUCUCUCACCAAUGUUUUAUCAUUUUCCAUGUACCAAUCUUUCACACUCUUUCUCAAAUUAAUCUCCAAAUAUUUUAUAUUUUUAUGUUACUUUUAUAUUUCAAUGUCUGGUUAUUCAUAGCUAGUACUAUAUAUUGAAAUCCAAUGAAGUUUUGUAUAUAAUUUUGUAUCCUACAGUCUUGCUAAAGUCAAUAAUUCUGGGAGCUCUUUUGCAGGUUACAUAGGAUGUCCUGUGUAAAUGAUCAUGUUGUCUCUGAAUAAAGAGAGUUUUACUUCUUUCUUCCCAAUCCAGAUAGCUUCAUAUCUUUUCUUGCCUGAUUUCAAGACAACUGUGACUCCAAAAUCCCAGAAUCCCCCCCAAAAAACAUGAGGUACUGAUUUAUAGCUGCUAGCACUGCGGUGGUAGAAUUCCUCAAAUAUGAGUGGAGAUGGCUUUCCAUCAGUAUUAGGACAGCUUAGAAACUCCACACACCGCCCCCCAAGCCACUUCAAUACUAGACCUUAAAUUUGCCCUUCUAUGACUUUGGCUUCGUGUGUGUGUGUGUGUGUGUGUGUGUGUGUGUACACGCUUAUGUAUGCAUGCAGCAAUUUUUAAAGCCUCCCCACUAAGCUCAGACAGGCCCUUCUAGAACCAGGCCUCCCCAAACUUAUUCUAAGAUUUUGCAUAUGGCUUUGGUCAUCACUCUGGAUUAUCCUUCCUAUUAUGAUAAGUUACUUUUCAAAGUAAUUUGAUGUUUUUGCCAAAUGACCUAAGUUGGGUCCAUUUUAAUUCAUCUGAUACUUUUCUAAUAAUAUUAAACUUCAAAAAGGAGAGUAUCAUAGCUUUAUCCACUACUUCCCAGAAGGCUUCUUGAACCUUAUGCAAAUAUACCCAUCUUUUUUUUUUUUUUUUUUUUGGAACCUCCCAGAAGGGCAGUAUUUGUCAACAUAAAACAAAGGUUCUGUUACACACUUUCCUGUAAACAACAGUACCUAGGGGCGCCUGGGUGGCUCAUCCAACUUUAGCUCAGGUCAUGAUCUCACGGUUCGAACCUUACAUUGGGCUCUGUCCUGACAGUUCAGAGCCUGGAGGUCUGCCCCUCCUCUGCUCACACUCUGUCUCCCUCUCUCAGGAAAUGAAUAAACAUAUAAAAUAAUAAUAAAUAAAAGAAAAUAAACAAUGGUAUCUUAUUUGCCUUACAUCUAUCUAAAAGAAACCAUUCUAGAGAUUGUUCUCAGGUAAAAGGAUAUAAAUUUCCCAAGGAAAUUUAUAAAUUCUAACACUAGAAAUAGAAGCUACUGACAACUUUUAAAUAACAACUUAUUCUAAUUUUAAAAAACUAUUAAAGCUUGGUCUCAUUGGGCACCCUUCUAAAGAAGUUUUUUCAAAGGUAGGAAGAAUAUUUUAGGAAGAUGAAUAUAGCAAUGAUUUGAAGAGUAAAUGAGAGGUGGAAAGAGAGGCAGUUCAGGAAGAUCAGUUAUCAGACUAUUAUAAUAAUCCAAGUCAUAUAUAAUAAAGAUGUCACUCAGAGAUAAUAGUAAUGAUGGAAAGAAAACAGUGAAUGUAUGAGAUUUUUUUUAAUAGAGAGAUUAAAUAAGAUUUAGGAAAUGAACUAUGGAGAAUAAGGAGAAAAGUCAAAAAUGGCUAACGGGAGAAAAUGGUAGCCCACCUUUAGAAGAAAAUGGUCAGUACAUAAGAAAAUGUGAUAAGGGGCAAGUCUGAGUAGAAAGGUGAACAGUUAGAUGGUGGACGUGUUGAGUCUGGCUCCAAUGUUGAGAGGCAGUAGGAAUUAUUGGAAGAGAGUUGGGUACAGAUCAGGAAACCUGAGUUCGGGUUGUGGCACUUGCCACUGACUUCCUGGGAGAUGGUGACAGACACUGUGGGAGCUGGCCCAACAUUCAUUUUCCACUGUACCUUCUUCCUUUCUAAUCUCAAAGAAACCAGAGUUAGUUUCUGUAUUAACCCAACAUCGUAGUCCAUGUGCUUUGGAGGGGGCUGGACUCAGUCUCAGAGGGCAAAUUCUAAUUGGUCUAAGUCAAUGACAUCUUCCAUUCCCAGGGCAUGUCACAAGUCUGGCCAAUGAAGUAUGAAGGACAAUCGGCUGUGUGCUUCAGGUUAGUGAACACUCACUCUUAAGAAGAGCUAUACUGGAUAAGAUGGUCUGUCCUUUCAAUGGCCAUUGUCAGGUACGAAUGGAACACUAGGAACCACCACACGCAUCUCACCACAAGGAACUGGCCUAUGAACAGACCAACGUGCUGAGGAUGGCAGAGCCAGUAGAGAGAGAAAUUGGGCCUGUAAUGCUAUCAUUGAAAUUCUACACUAACCAACCCUCACAUGCCAUACUCUUGUAUUUCUUGUUAUGGUAGAUCACACAUUUAAACCAAUUACAUUGGGAUUUCUGUUAUUUGAAGCUAAAGCCAUCCUUACUGACCCUGCAGCCCAAACCAUUUCCUCUGCACACUAUUUCUUCCACUGUAAGUUGAGAAUAGUCUCUCUAAGAACUCUCCCAGCUCUAACCACCCAGGAUGUUAUUAUUAUAGGUAAAAAUAGAGGUUGAAAAGGAAGAAUGAAUAUCUAGAGAAAGAUCAAAACACAAAUAUAGAUAUAGAAGUCAUCUAUGUAGUAUAAGACUUAGAAUCCUGGGGGUAAAUGAGAUUGUCAGGUGAAACUUACUGAUUGCUGUACAUGUUAACAAUAACACCUCGUGUUAUCCUCACAACAUUCUGCAAAGUUGGCAUCAUUGCUGUUUCCUAUGAAUAAACCAAGACACAAAUGUCCAGAAAAGUAUGAACAGUGUCCCAGACUCUAAGAGAUGGUCAAAAUUUCAACAGUAUCACAUGUUUCAAACAGGUCAAGAAGAAUGAAGACAAAGAAAAGGUCAAAAGCCUUGAUGAUUAGGAAGUUCUUAAUGUUUUCAAGGUAACUGUUUCCAGAAAGUCAUAGGGGUGAAAGAAGAGAGUGAAAAGUGACAGAUGUUAAGGAAGUAAAGACCAUUUUUAUCAUAAGUUUAGCAGUCAAAGAAAAGGGCAAGGUACUUCAAGGGAGGAACAAGUUUGAGAGAAAAAUUAUUUUGUUUCUUGUUUAAGAAGGCCUGACCACACCGGGGGGUAGAGGAAAAGGAACCAAUGGAGAAGAAGGGCUGAAGGGGCAGGAGAAGGAGGCCCUCACUGAUGGAACAGGUUCUGGAGGACAUGGGAGAAGAUGUGCUGUUUGGUUUCCCUCUGUUGUCUGCUCCUUGAGUUCCGGGUGAAUUGAGGGCUUUGAGGACCGAUCGAUGGCCAGACUGAGCUGAUGUAAUCACUGCUACAAGGUAUUAAUAAUGAAUGAAUGUUAUUUCUUUUAUGUGUUAUUUUAAUAGCCCUUUAUAAAAGGAUCACUGGAAAAAGACCAACAUAUCUUUCCAGAGUUUAUUUUUAAAAUGCAUAAUUCAUACAGAAAAGUAUUACUGUAUAGUGAAAGCCAACAUUUACCUCCUUCUCCUAACAGAAUGCAACCUAUGGAGAAGAAACAGAUGAAAAAUAUUAUUAAAAAUAAAGUAGUUUAUACCGUGUCCCAAAUUUCACUGGGAAAUUACCUAGACCUACAUUACAGAGAGAAAAUUCAAAUAGAAUAAUAGAAGAUACUAUUUAGUAAGACUUAGGAUGAUAUGCCAGGCCCUGUGCUAAGCACUUCUUACACAUUAUCCUAUUUAAUCCUUAUAACACCCUGUGAGAUGGUUGUUAUUAACUUUAUUUUAUGCUGAAGAAACUGAAGCUUAGAGAUGUUAUACCCCCAAGAUCCACCUACUGUACUAUUCUGUACGAGUUUUCAUAAAUGAAAUAAUUAUUCAUAUAUACAGAGUUCUAACUAUGUUCUAAAGUAUGUUCUAAAAAGUGCUGGGUACUUCCUACUCUUGUGGCAACUAUGGGAGGUGUCUGUUUUUAUUAUCUUUAGUAUAGAUGCAAACCUAAAGACCAGAAAAUGAGAUGAUAGAGCCCAUCCUCGAACCAAUAUGGUCUGAUACCUACAAAGAUUUUUUUUAAUUUUUUUUUGACCUUUACUUAUUAUUGAGAGACAGAGGAGACAGAGCAUGAGCAUGGGAAGGGCAGAGAGAGGGGGAGACACAGAAUCUGAAGCAGGCUCCAGGCUCCAAGCUGUCAGCACAGAGCCUCAUGUGGGGCUCGAACCCACAAACCACCAGAUCAUGACCUGACCCGAAGGUGGACACCCAACCAACUGAGCCACCCAGGCGCCCUUGGUACCUACAAAGAUUUUUGAAAAUAAAGUCGAGGUAAUUUGAAAAUGGCUUUAUAGGAUCACAUAAUGUAUCCAACAAGUAUAAGCCAAAUCUUCAGUUCCCUGGAAGGAAUAAAGUAUAGGAUAAAUUUCUAAGGAUGAAAAUGUUGCCUCUAACACAUAAGCUUAGUAGUGUAGUUAAAAAUGUUUGAGUCAAAAUCGAAUGUCAGUUAUGAGACACUAAACUGUGUUGUAUUUAGUACUUUCUCCCUAAUAAAAUUGUCAGUAGUUGAUGUUCCAAAGGAGAGAAUGUAUUUUGUUCUAUAGUGCAAUUCACUAUUAGCUUCCAAAUGCACAUUGGCUUAGGCCUGCGAAGGGCCCUGGCUCAUCAGUUUUCUCUGAAUUCAAGAGUAAUAACUAGAAUAACCAGAGAUACUACGAAGCAUCUUUUAACACCAAUGUCAUUACUCCAUUUAGUAGAAAGGACCGUUGAUGAUUUUCUUAUCCUAUCCGUGUCUCGUAUCCUGAACUGCAAAAUGGGGAAUGAAGGAUGAGGCGAUGUGGUAUAUAAAUGUAGGCUGUUAGACACACUUGGAUGUUUAUAACACCAUUUGUGGCAUUCUCAGUGAAGUCUUGCCUAGCUGGAUAAAUAAAAAUUAUCAUUCUUUUUUUUCAAGGCAUGUUUUCAGUGUUAUCCUGGGGCACCCUUGCAGAAAAAAAAAAUCCUCUUUGAAAGCCUAAUUCCACCUCUUUUGUCAAUAGGACCAGCUACCUCACUUGCAGGGCCCAGUGAAAAAUGAAAAUGCGGGGAGCCUUGUUCAGAAAUAUAGAAAUCCAAAAUGGCAGCAGUGUUAGGCUAAGUUGGAGCCUUUCUCAGCACAGGACUCUAUGCAACUUCAUGGGCCACAUGCCCAUGAAGCCUGGCUUGCUUGGCAUCACUUUCUUUGAUGAAAAGAAAACACUGUAAAAGGAAACAUGUAGGUUAUAAUGAAGAUAAAGAAGAAAUGAAAAGCCUCGGGUACAAUGGCAAUGAUUGUUAAUAAAAAACCAUUAACAAAGGUUUCCAGAAAUUAAUCAGCACAGAUGGACAUGGCAACCACUUGUGAAGGAAGUCUUUGUAGAAAUGCUCUGCAGCAAGGGUUCUGGGAAAUGCUGAGUGUCACACACUGAAGCGCUUAGCCAGUCCAGUCUGGACAACAAGCUGAAAACCAGGUCCUUCCCAGAAGAGCUCGGAAACACAGGGAGCAAACCAAGUCAGAGGCUGCAAGUCCCUGGUCCUGUUCUGUGGUGGUGAAGGAUCUAAACACAGGUGUUAGUUGAAAGAAGCAUUCUGUGGUCCAGUAACUUUCCGAGCCUCUGGGUAAAGCAGAACUUCUGAGAGCCUCUAAUACACAAAUGUGCUCCGCGAAUCUUCUCGAGCAAGCUGCAGCGCACGAUGUUGCACAAUGUUAUUCAACCAUGGAAACCUUUCCUCAAGGAGCAUCUCAGGGGAUUAUUGUUCCACAGAACACUCUGGAAAAUGCUGCACCACACCCUGCUUUUACUGGAAAGAGGAAGUUGGGCUAGGAACUAGCACUUUAGGCGCUGUGUAAAGCCAUCGGAGGACACCUACGGAGGGACAACAAUCCUAUCAGGCCGUGGCCAGGCCCACUUAUCCACAGGGGUGAAUGUGCAGCCAAUCCGGUUUUUUGUCAACUAUCUGAAACUAUGCUUGGCCCCUAUUUCCUGUCUGAACCUCUGGGGUUUUCCAUGAUUUAACCCUGGUUAGUUGAUUCCAUGCUCUGCUGAUCUUCCUUAGUGCUCUCAUUUGGGGAAAUGGGAGUGGGCAGAACAGGAACAGUGGAAAUCUGCUCAGCGCGUGCUCCCCCUCAGGCUGGGGGUGGGGAGCAGGGCAGGGGGCGAUUUCUACAUCCCUGAAUGAAGUGUGCAGUUGGUGGCCUCCCCUGCAGCCCAGGGCAGGAAUUCGGCUCACAUCUUUGUUCUGCGCACUCUGAGCUCUGUCUGCCGUGGACACAUCCAGAAGCGAUUCAGCUGCAGACAGGUGCGGAUGCUACAAGAGGAAGACUCACAUUUGGCAGGAAAGCUGCCAGCUGUGGAGAAUGCGGAUCACUGCCUCGCUAGGGAAGAAUUCCCAAGCCCUCCAAGCUAUGAAGCCAGGAAGUGAAUGGGAAGCAGCUGGAGCGGGCCGGGCGGAAGGGACAAGCCAGAGAGAGCAGGAGAGCACCCGACGGUGGCCUGACCCCAGGGAGCCCAGCAGAGGCCAGCUGGGCCAGCUUCCCCAGAGAAAGCAGUGAAAGGGAGUGGCUGGUCCCAGGGGUAUCAGCGGGCAGGCUGGACCAAGUCACAUCAGAAGAGUGCCAGCGGGAGUCAUCAGUUGGCUUUUAAAGAAAACUAAACUGUAUAAAUAAAUAGAUGUUAAUCCCAGAUGCUGCUCACUCCUGAAAUACAUGAAAUGUAAGUGACGAAGUGAAAACCACUGAAUGAAUUCUUUCUUUCAGGACUUUCAAAGAAACCUUGCAAAAGCAGAUCUGGCUAAGAGCUUGGCCGCAGACGAACAAGUACAUCCCAGACACAAGGAGAGUUUUUUUCAUGGUCAUGUCUUGUCAUAGGGCUUUUUAACAAGUUGACUUAAGGCUGUGGUCCGUACGCAGCUGAGAAAGUCUGCUGAAAACAGCAAAUGCCCCAAGCCAGAAUUUGUGGGCAUUUUCUCUUCGUGUGACAUUAGAGAUAAAAUUAAAGAUAAAAGAAUUAUUAUAACUUUUAUUAAGUGUUGAGAGUUUGUUGAGCACCCGGCACUUUGCACACAGCAUGUUUAAUGUUUACAACAAACUAGUGUUGCUAUGCCUUUUUUACACACGAAGAAACUGUGGUUAACAUGUCUGAUGCCACAGGGUUAGUUAAGGGGUUGUUGGUCUGUAAUGCAGACCCAGACCUCCCUGACUGGGAAAUCAGGCUCUCUCUGCUGUCACACUAAGGCCUGUGUUAUCACAUCGACAGCAGCAUAAGACACUCAGAACUGAGGACUUGCUGUACAAGGAACCACGCACUUCCUUUCCAGCGCACCUGUCUACUCACUAGCAAUUUAUAAAAUACAUCUU